UAUCUCUGUAGAGUCUGCAUAUCAAUAAGCGGAGGAAAAGAAACUAACUAGGAUUCCCUUAGUAACGGCGAGUGAAGCGGGAAGAGCUCAAAUUUGAAAUCUUCAAGGUUUUACCUUGACGAAUUGUAGUUUAAAGAAGUGUUUUCUGUUGAAGUUUCGGUAAAAGUUCUUUGGAAUAGGACAUCAUAGAGGGUGAGAAUCCCGUAUUUGACCGUUAUUUUCAGCUGUGUGAUACACUUUCAAAGAGUCGGAUUGUUUGGGAAUGCAGUCCAAAAUGGGUGGUAAAUUUCAUCUAAAGCUAAAUAUUGGCGAGAGACCGAUAGCGAACAAGUACCGUGAGGGAAAGAUGAAAAGAACUUUGAAAAGAGCGUUAAACAGUACGUGAAAUUGUCAAAAGGGAAGCGUUUGACACCAGUGUUGUUUUCUCGAAAAUCAAUUAAAAAAGAUUGGAUUUUGUGUUGUAUUGACCUUAUAAGCUUUCAUGCACUCUUUUUCAUGUCUUUUUUAAUGCACUUUUCGUUUAACAAGUCAACAUCAAUUUCUUUUGUUGUAAAAGGGUCAUUGGAAGGUGGCUUUCUUUUCGGAGAAAGUGUUUAUAGCCUUUGACUCCUGCAAUCGGAGAGACUGAGGUCUGCAGCGUAGAUCCUUUGGGAUUAGAUUACAUUUGUGCUAAGUUAUAGCCUUUUCAUAGACAACAUGUUGACUAUGAUUAGUCAUUGUAGCCUACUCGCUUAUGCUAUUUUACCUACGCUUAGGAUGUUGAUCUCUCACAGUCGAGC
rnacentral:rRNA from 1 species